CUGGUAGAUUGUGAGACCCAUGAGCAUCAUCUCGAUGAUUGAUGAUCCUUGAUGGGCAAAGUUGGAAUUAUUCCAAUCCAUUGAAAAGAGUUUGGAUGAUAUUGUGAUAGGAAUCAUAAUAUAUCUCACUAACAGAUAGAAUAAAACCUAUGGAGACACACACAAAGAGAUUUUUGAUUAUCAGAUGAUUGAAUUAUGAUUAUGAAUCAUGAUAGAAUUUAAUUAUCAAUUUGAUUAAUGAUUAAUUUAAUGCAAAAGUUACAAUUAAGUAACUUACUAAAGAGUUAGUGAGUUAUAGGAGGAUUAAUUAGCAAUUUGAGUACUAAUUGGC
rnacentral:lncRNA from 1 species